AUGGAGGCGGCUCUCGUGAGUGCCGCGACGGGGGCCCUGAAACCCAUCAUCAGGAAGCUGGCCACCCUGUUGGGUGACGAGUACAAGCGUCUCAAGGGGGUGCGUGAGGAGAUCAAGUCCCUGACUCAUGAACUCUCCGCCAUGGAUGCUUUUCUCAUGAAGAUGUCAGCGGAGGAGGAUCCGGAUAUGCAAGAUAAAGUUUGGAUGAAUGAGGUACGGGAGCUGUCCUAUGACAUAGAUGAUUUCAUAGACGACUUUCUGAAAUAUGUCAAUGACGAAGACAUUAAGCCGGAUAACUUCAUGGAGAAGAUCAAGUUCUUCCUGGGAAAGAUGAAGACCCGGCGCCAAAUUGGCAAAGAAAUUGAAGAUUUGAAGAAACAAAUUAUUGAGGUCGGCGAGAGGAAUGCAAGGGAGCAGUUUUUUCUUCUUCCGAGGGCGAGAUUGGGACGCUCUCUUUCUUUUUGA
rnacentral:rRNA from 1 species